rnacentral:sRNA from 1 species
CCGAGAUAUCGGAAGUCCACAGCGUCAGGUUAUCACGCAGAAGCUGCAUGAUCAAAGUGCUGUCCUUGUAGGAUUCCUCACUCAGAGUGUCCAGCUCUGAGAUAGCCUCAUCGAAAGCCUGAGAUAAAGUAGAUUGCAAGCACGGUCAGGAGAGUUGAGGAUCUCGUAAUAAAACACCGAGAAGUUGAGGGCCAGCCCAAGUCUGAUAGGAUGAGUUGGGGGCAACUCUGCCAGGGCAAUAUCCUGAGCGGCUUUGUAUGCCACCAUGGUGUUCUCAGCAGCAUCCUUCCUCUCAGCUCCAGUCUUAAACUCUGCGAGGUACCUGUAGUAGUCGCCUUUCAUCUUGAGGUAGAAGACCUUGGACUCUGGAGCAGUGGAUGAAGGCACAAGGUGGGAGUCAAGAAGCUUGAGGAUGCCAUCACAGAUCUUGGAGAGCUCAGUUUCAAUCUUUCCCCUGUAUUCCUUGAUGAGCGUGCAACGAUCCUCAUUACCACGGCUCUCUUCCUUCUGUUCAAUGGAUGAUAUGAUGCGCCAUGACGCACGGCGAGCACCAAUAACAUUCUUGUAAGCAACUGAUAGAAGGUUGCGCUCCUCAACAGUGAGCUCCUCAGAGUCAACUGUCUUAGCAACCUUCUCCAUGAACUCAACCAUCUCCUCAUACCUCUCGGCCUGCUCUGCAAGCUUAGCCAUGUACACAUUCUCCUCACGGGAAAGCUCAGCAGGCUGCGACAUCUUCACUGUUUGUGUUUU